rnacentral:misc_RNA from 1 species
GAUGAAGAACGUAGCGAAAUGCGAUAAGUAAUGUGAAUUGCAGAAUUCAGUGAAUCAUCGAAUCUUUGAACGCACCUUGCGCCCUUUGGCCAUUCCGAAGGGCAUGCCUGUUUGAGUAUCAUGAACACCUCAACUCUUUAUGGUUUUCCAUGAUGAGCUUGGACUCUGGGGGUUUUGCUGGCUCACAGUCGGCUCCUCUAAAAUGAAUCAGCUUACCAGUGUUUGGUGGGUAUCAUGGGUGUGAUAACUAUCUACGCUUGUGGCUUUUCCACCAGGUAACCUUCAGCAGUGGAGGUUCGCUGGAGCUCAUAGAUGUCUCUCCUCAGUGAGGACAGCCCUUUGAAUGUUUGAUCUCAAAUCAGGUAGGACUACCCGCUGAACUUAAGCAUAUCAAUAAGCGGAGGA